AGUGAACGCUGGCGGUAGGCCUAACACAUGCAAGUCGAACGGCAGCACAGUAAGAGCUUGCUCUUACGGGUGGCGAGUGGCGGACGGGUGAGGAAUACAUCGGAAUCUACUUUUUCGUGGGGGAUAACGUAGGGAAACUUACGCUAAUACCGCAUACGACCUACGGGUGAAAGCAGGGGAUCUUCGGACCUUGCGCGAUUGAAUGAGCCGAUGUCGGAUUAGCUAGUUGGCGGGGUAAAGGCCCACCAAGGCGACGAUCCGUAGCUGGUCUGAGAGGAUGAUCAGCCACACUGGAACUGAGACACGGUCCAGACUCCUACGGGAGGCAGCAGUGGGGAAUAUUGGACAAUGGGCGCAAGCCUGAUCCAGCCAUACCGCGUGGGUGAAGAAGGCCUUCGGGUUGUAAAGCCCUUUUGUUGGUAAAGAAAAGCAGCAGGUUAAUACCCCGCUGUUCCGACGGUACCCAAAGAAUAAGCACCGGCUAACUUCGUG
rnacentral:rRNA from 1 species